rfam:Daphnia pulex DAPPTscaffold_677_Cont10593, whole genome shotgun sequence.
GGCCUGUUAGCUCAGUUGGUUAGAGCGCCGUGCUAAUAACGCGGAGGUUAUGAGUUCGAUCCUUUUACGGGCCA